UACGUAGGGUGCAAGCGUUAAUCGGAAUUACUGGGCGUAAAGCGUGCGCAGGCGGCUAUGCAAGACAGAUGUGAAAUCCCCGGGCUCAACCUGGGAACUGCAUUUGUGACUGCAUGGCUAGAGUACGGUAGAGGGGGAUGGAAUUCCGCGUGUAGCAGUGAAAUGCGUAGAUAUGCGGAGGGACACCGAUGGCGAAGGCAAUCCCCUGGACCUGUGCUGACGCUCAUGCACGAAAGCGUGGGGAGCAAACAGG
rnacentral:rRNA from 1 species